CAGCCGUAAACAAUGUGCGUUAGGUGUGUCGGUAACCACGUGUUACUGAUGCGCCGAAGAGAAAUCGUGAAACGCACCACCUGGGAAGUACGGUCGCAAGGCUGAAACUUAAAGGAAUUGGCGGGGGAGCACCACAACAGGUGGAGCCUGCGGUUUAAUUGGACUCAACGCCGGGAAGCUCACCGGAUAGGACAGCAGAAUGAUUGCCGGGCUGAAGACUCUGCAUGACUAGCUGAGAGGUGGUGCAUGGCGUAGACGUCU
rnacentral:rRNA from 1 species